rnacentral:rRNA from 1 species
GACGAACGCGGCCGGCGUGCCUAAUACAUGCAAGUAGAACGCUGAAGAGAGGAGCUUGCCCUUCUUGGAAGAGUUGCGAACGGGUGAGUAACGCGUAGGUAACCUGCCUUGUAGCGGGGGAUAACUAUUGGAAACGAUAGCUAAUACCGCAUAACAAUGGGUGACCCAUGUCAUUCAUUUAAAAGGGGCAACUGCUCCACUACAAGAUGGACCUGCGUUGUAUUAGCUAGUAGGUGAGGUAACGGCUCACCUAGGCGACGAUACAUAGCCGACCUGAGAGGGUGAUCGGCCACACUGGGACUGAGACACGGCCCAGACUCCUACGGGAGGCAGCAGUAGGGAAUCUUCGGCAAUGGGGGCAACCCUGACCGAGCAACGCCGCGUGAGUGAAGAAGGUUUUCGGAUCGUAAAGCUCUGUUGUAAGUCAAGAACGAGUGUGAGAGUGGAAAGUUCACACUGUGACGGUAGCUUACCAGAAAGGGACGGCUAACUACGUGCCAGCAGCCGCGGUAAUACGUAGGUCCCGAGCGUUGUCCGGAUUUAUUGGGCGUAAAGCGAGCGCAGGCGGUUUGAUAAGUCUGAAGUUAAAGGCUGUGGCUCAACCAUAGUUUGCUUUGGAAACUGUCAAACUUGAGUGCAGAAGGGGAGAGUGGAAUUCCAUGUGUAGCGGUGAAAUGCGUAGAUAUAUGGAGGAACACCGGUGGCGAAAGCGGCUCUCUGGUCUGUAACUGACGCUGAGGCUCGAAAGCGUGGGGAGCGAACAGG